rnacentral:lncRNA from 1 species
AAAUGUCAAAGUGCUCGUUUAGGAUUUGUCUUUAUCAAUCUACAAAUAAAGAAAGUAUACUUCCACGGUUAUGACUGCAAGAAAACAAAAUACUUGUCCCUGGAAGGGGUCAGCACGUGCUGCCUGCAGCGCCGGACACGGGCCGCGGCCUCCCGGGAGCUUCGCCGGCCCGCAGGGGUCUGUCCACCUUUCCCCGCCUCCGGGGCACCGGGGGCUCGCGUCCAGCGGACGGCAGGCUCGCUCCGGGCUGGCGCCGCCGCCCAACCCCGCCAGCGGGACUUCACCCCGAGAGACGCCCGUCCUCGAGUUCCGAGGGCAGGAUGCGGAGCAGUGACGGGCAGUCCGGGGUCCGGCGGGGACCCGAGCGCACGUGAGGUUGCAUCAGAAAAGAGGAGCUCCGCAAAGUCGGUGAACUGGGGCGCACGGGGAGCGUGUUACGCAACGGCCGCCGCUCUCCCGGCCGCGACCCGCGAGGACCGGGGACGCGAACCUGCAGGGGUCGACGCGGGUGGGCAACGCUGCGGCUCUGCGGGCGGCGCCGUCGGGGCGGGGGGCGCGGCGGGCGGCGGACGGCGGCGCGGCCCGGCCCGGCCCGGCCCGGGGGGACCACCGCACGGGGUGCGAGGGGACGACCGCACAGCACAGCCCGCGGGCGGGCCGACGGCGCGGCCUCCGGGGACGGCGGCGCAGCGGGCGCGGACCCCGGUGCUCCGGGGCCGCCAGCAGGCAGGCGCCCGGCCCCGGUCGCGGGGAGCAGCCCGGGCCGUCGCAGCGGUGCCCCCGGCGCGGACGGCCUCUCGGGCCGCCCCAGCCCCGCCGGGAGCCCGGCGCACAACAAAGCGGCGCAGCGCCGGCGGCCGGGCGCUGCCUCCCCACGGCCCCCGCUCGGCCGACUCCGGACGGCCCGCGACGACGCGCCGCCAGCGGAGGCGGCUCCGGGCCCGGGCCGGGCGGGGGCCGUGGGGGCAGGGCGAGGGCGAGGGCUCCGCUCGGGACGAACUUCCUCGGCCGCCCUGCCGAGCCCGGCGCCCCUCCCGCAGCCUCGGCCCGAGGGUGGGCGCCCCGAGCCCCGGGGCCCCGCCGGCCCGCGGAAACUUCCAGCCGCCCCGCCCUGGCCCCGGGCCCCACGCCCCCCGCCCCUGCCCCCUCACCUCCUGGGGCGCGGUCUACACCCUCCGGGGCGUCCCGGUCCGCGGCUCCGGGGCCUCGCGCGCCGGGGGACCGGGCGCCAGUGGCUGGAGCGGCUGCUGGCCCCGCGGGCACGGGGGAGCCCCGGGCGGCGGCGGCGCGGGCGGCGGCGGCUCCAUCUUCCCGGGGCGCUCACGCCGAGGUUCCAGCGCGCAGACCCAAGUGGGACAUUCGCUACAUUGUUGGCAUUCCACGGGCGUCACGUGA